GUGUCAGCCGCCGCGGUAAGACAGAGGUGGCGAGCGUUGUUCGGAUUUAUUGGGCGUAAAGCGAACGCAGGUGGUUUGGUAAGUCAGAGGUGAAAGCCCACAGCUUAACUGUGGCACUGCCUUUGAUACUGCCUUUCUAGAGUGCAUGAGGGGGAAGCGGAAUUCCGAGUGUAGAGGUGAAAUUCGUAGAUAUUCGGAGGAACACCGGUGGCGAAGGCGGCUUCCUGGCAUGUAACUGACACUCAUGUUCGAAAGCGUGGGUAGCAAACAGGAUUAGAUACCCUGGUAGUCCACGCCCUAAACGAUGGGCACUAGGUGUGGGAGGUAUCGACCCCUUCCGUGCCGCAGCUAACGCAUUAAGUGCCCCGCCUGGGGAGUACGGCCGCAAGGUUGAA
rnacentral:rRNA from 1 species